CUCUGUUCUGGGGCUGGAGGCUUCAUCUUAGAUGGAGACACUAAAACAGCACCACCAACAGCUGGAGUAGUGAGAUCAUGAUGAGUCCUCUGGAUUCCACCAAGUUCUCUCAGCUUGGGAGUAGGAAGCCGGCCUCCUUUUUCUGAGGAUACAGAAGAAUCUGACCCUUCUUUCAUCUUAUCUGCCUUAGAUUUCUCACGUACAUCCAACUUCUCUUGCUCUCCCAUAAAAGCCUGCUUGCCCGUUUUCCUGUCCCCUUCCUCUUCAUUGUCGUCCUCCUCCUCUUUCUCCCCG
rnacentral:lncRNA from 1 species